GGUUAAGCGACUAAGCGUACACGGUGGAUGCCCUGGCAGUCAGAGGCGAUGAAGGGCGUGCUAAUCUGCGAUAAGCGCCGGUAAGGUGAUAUGAACCGUUAUAACCGGCGAUACCCGAAUGGGGAAACCCAGUGUGAUUCGUCACACUAUCAUUAACUGAAUCCAUAGGUUAAUGAGGCGAACCGGGGGAACUGAAACAUCUAAGUACCCCGAGGAAAAGAAAUCAACCGAGAUUCCCCCAGUAGCGGCGAGCGAACGGGGAGGAGCCCAGAGCCUGAAUCAGCAUGUGUGUUAGUGGAAGCGUCUGGAAAGGCGCGCGAUACAGGGUGACAGCCCCGUACACAAAAGCGCAUGUGCUGUGAGCUCGAUGAGUAGGGCGGGACACGUGGUAUCCUGUCUGAAUAUGGGGGGACCAUCCUCCAAGGCUAAAUACUCCUGACUGACCGAUAGUGAACCAGUACCGUGAGGGAAAGGCGAAAAGAACCCCGGCGAGGGGAGUGAAAAAGAACCUGAAACCGUGUACGUACAAGCAGUGGGAGCACAGGUUUACCUGUGUGACUGCGUACCUUUUGUAUAAUGGGUCAGCGACUUAUAUUCUGUAGCAAGGUUAACCGUAUAGGGGAGCCGGAGGGAAACCGAGUCUUAACCGGGCGUUAAGUUGCAGGGUAUAGACCCGAAACCCGGUGAUCUAGCCAUGGGCAGGUUGAAGGUUGGGUAACACUAACUGGAGGACCGAACCGACUAAUGUUGAAAAAUUAGCGGAUGACCUGUGGCUGGGGGUGAAAGGCCAAUCAAACCGGGAGAUAGCUGGUUCUCCCCGAAAGCUAUUUAGGUAGCGCCUCGUGAAUUCAUCUCCGGGGGUAGAGCACUGUUUCGGCUAGGGGGCCAUCCCGGCUUACCAACCCGAUGCAAACUGCGAAUACCGGAGAAUGUUAUCACGGGAGACACACGGCGGGUGCUAACGUCCGUCGUGAAGAGGGAAACAACCCAGACCGCCAGCUAAGGUCCCAAAGUCAUGGUUAAGUGGGAAACGAUGUGGGAAGGCCCAGACAGCCAGGAUGUUGGCUUAGAAGCAGCCAUCAUUUAAAGAAAGCGUAAUAGCUCACUGGUCGAGUCGGCCUGCGCGGAAGAUGUAACGGGGCUAAACCAUGCACCGAAGCUGCGGCAGCGAACGUAUCACUUAAAGCGAUUCAGCGGGUUACGAUUGACGGAGCGAAGCGACGUCAAAGCGUAUACAAAGUCGAGUCGGUUUAAGGAUACGUUCGUUGGGUAGGGGAGCGUUCUGUAAGCCUGUGAAGGUGGCCUGUGAGGGUUGCUGGAGGUAUCAGAAGUGCGAAUGCUGACAUAAGUAACGAUAAAGCGGGUGAAAAGCCCGCUCGCCGGAAGACCAAGGGUUCCUGUCCAACGUUAAUCGGGGCAGGGUGAGUCGACCCCUAAGGCGAGGCCGAAAGGCGUAGUCGAUGGGAAACGGGUUAAUAUUCCCGUACUUGGUGUUACUGCGAAGGGGGGACGGAGAAGGCUAUGUUGGCCGGGCGACGGUUGUCCCGGUUUAAGCGUGUAGGCUGGUUUUCCAGGCAAAUCCGGAAAAUCAAGGCUGAGGCGUGACGACGAGGCACUACGGUGCUGAAGCAACAAAUGCCCUGCUUCCAGGAAAAGCCUCUAAGCAUCAGGUAACAUCAAAUCGUACCCCAAACCGACACAGGUGGUCAGGUAGAGAAUACCAAGGCGCUUGAGAGAACUCGGGUGAAGGAACUAGGCAAAAUGGUGCCGUAACUUCGGGAGAAGGCACGCUGACACGUAGGUGAAGUGAUUUACUCACGGAGCUGAAGUCAGUCGAAGAUACCAGCUGGCUGCAACUGUUUAUUAAAAACACAGCACUGUGCAAACACGAAAGUGGACGUAUACGGUGUGACGCCUGCCCGGUGCCGGAAGGUUAAUUGAUGGGGUCAGCGCAAGCGAAGCUCCUGAUCGAAGCCCCGGUAAACGGCGGCCGUAACUAUAACGGUCCUAAGGUAGCGAAAUUCCUUGUCGGGUAAGUUCCGACCUGCACGAAUGGCGUAAUGAUGGCCAGGCUGUCUCCACCCGAGACUCAGUGAAAUUGAACUCGCUGUGAAGAUGCAGUGUACCCGCGGCAAGACGGAAAGACCCCGUGAACCUUUACUAUAGCUUGACACUGAACAUUGAGCCUUGAUGUGUAGGAUAGGUGGGAGGCUUUGAAGCGUGGACGCCAGUCUGCGUGGAGCCGACCUUGAAAUACCACCCUUUAAUGUUUGAUGUUCUAACGUGGACCCGUGAUCCGGGUUGCGGACAGUGUCUGGUGGGUAGUUUGACUGGGGCGGUCUCCUCCUAAAGAGUAACGGAGGAGCACGAAGGUUGGCUAAUCCUGGUCGGACAUCAGGAGGUUAGUGCAAUGGCAUAAGCCAGCUUGACUGCGAGCGUGACGGCGCGAGCAGGUGCGAAAGCAGGUCAUAGUGAUCCGGUGGUUCUGAAUGGAAGGGCCAUCGCUCAACGGAUAAAAGGUACUCCGGGGAUAACAGGCUGAUACCGCCCAAGAGUUCAUAUCGACGGCGGUGUUUGGCACCUCGAUGUCGGCUCAUCACAUCCUGGGGCUGAAGUAGGUCCCAAGGGUAUGGCUGUUCGCCAUUUAAAGUGGUACGCGAGCUGGGUUUAGAACGUCGUGAGACAGUUCGGUCCCUAUCUGCCGUGGGCGCUGGAGAACUGAGGGGGGCUGCUCCUAGUACGAGAGGACCGGAGUGGACGCAUCACUGGUGUUCGGGUUGUCAUGCCAAUGGCACUGCCCGGUAGCUAAAUGCGGAAGAGAUAAGUGCUGAAAGCAUCUAAGCACGAAACUUGCCCCGAGAUGAGUUCUCCCUGAGACUUAGAGUCUCCUGAAGGAACGUUGAAGACGACGACGUUGAUAGGCCGGGUGUGUAAGCGCAGCGAUGCGUUGAGCUAACCGGUACUAAUGAACCGUGAGGCUUAACCUU
rnacentral:rRNA from 1 species